rnacentral:rRNA from 1 species
GAAGGGAGCUUGCUCCCGGAUGUUAGCGGCGGACGGGUGAGUAACACGUGGGUAACCUGCCUGUAAGACUGGGAUAACUCCGGGAAACCGGAGCUAAUACCGGAUAGUUCCUUGAACCGCAUGGUUCAAGGAUGAAAGACGGUUUCGGCUGUCACUUACAGAUGGACCCGCGGCGCAUUAGCUAGUUGGUGGGGUAAUGGCUCACCAAGGCGACGAUGCGUAGCCGACCUGAGAGGGUGAUCGGCCACACUGGGACUGAGACACGGCCCAGACUCCUACGGGAGGCAGCAGUAGGGAAUCUUCCGCAAUGGACGAAAGUCUGACGGAGCAACGCCGCGUGAGUGAUGAAGGUUUUCGGAUCGUAAAGCUCUGUUGUUAGGGAAGAACAAGUGCGAGAGUAACUGCUCGCACCUUGACGGUACCUAACCAGAAAGCCACGGCUAACUACGUGCCAGCAGCCGCGGUAAUACGUAGGUGGCAAGCGUUGUCCGGAAUUAUUGGGCGUAAAGGGCUCGCAGGCGGUUUCUUAAGUCUGAUGUGAAAGCCCCCGGCUCAACCGGGGAGGGUCAUUGGAAACUGGGAAACUUGAGUGCAGAAGAGGAGAGUGGAAUUCCACGUGUAGCGGUGAAAUGCGUAGAGAUGUGGAGGAACACCAGUGGCGAAGGCGACUCUCUGGUCUGUAACUGACGCUGAGGAGCGAAAGCGUGGGGAGCGAACAGGAUUAGAUACCCUGGUAGUCCACGCCGUAAACGAUGAGUGCUAAGUG